GAUGAACGCCGGCGGCGUGCCUAAUACAUGCAAGUCGAGCGAAUGGAUUAAGAGCUUGCUCUUAUGAAGUUAGCGGCGGACGGGUGAGUAACACGUGGGUAACCUGCCCAUAAGACUGGGAUAACUCCGGGAAACCGGGGCUAAUACCGGAUAACACUUUGAACCGCCUGGUUCGAAAUUGAAAGGCGGCUUCGGCUGUCACUGAUGGAUGGACCCGCGUCGCAUUAGCUAGUUGGUGAGGUAACGGCCCACCAAGGCAACGAUGCGUAGCCGACCUGAGAGGGUGAUCGGCCACACUGGGACUGAGACACGGCCCAGACUCCUACGGGAGGCAGCAGUAGGGAAUCUUCCGCAAUGGACGAAAGUCUGACGGAGCAACGCCGCGUGAGUGAUGAAGGCUUUCGGGUCGUAAAACUCUGUUGUUAGGGAAGAACAAGUGCUAGUUGAAUAAGCUGGCACCUUGACGGUACCUAACCAGAAAGCCACGGCUAACUACGUGCCAGCCGCCGCAGUAA
rnacentral:rRNA from 1 species